UACAGAGGCCUCGAGCGUUGUUCGGAAUUACUGGGCGUAAAGGGAAUGUAGGUGGUGACGUAAGUCUGAUGUGAAAGCCCCGGGCUCAACCUGGGAAUGGCAUUGGAAACUGGCUUGCUGGAGUGUGGCAGAGGGGGGUGGAAUUCCGCGUGUAGCAGUGAAAUGCGUAGAGAUGCGGAGGAACACCGAUGGCGAAGGCAGCCCCCUGGGCCAACACUGACGCUCAGGCACGAAAGCGUGGGGAGCAAACAGG
rnacentral:rRNA from 1 species